UUAAGCGACUAAGCGUACACGGUGGAUGCCCUGGCAGUCAGAGGCGAUGAAGGACGUGCUAAUCUGCGAUAAGCGUCGGUAAGGUGAUAUGAACCGUUAUAACCGGCGAUUUCCGAAUGGGGAAACCCAGUGUGUUUCGACACACUAUCAUUAACUGAAUCCAUAGGUUAAUGAGGCGAACCGGGGGAACUGAAACAUCUAAGUACCCCGAGGAAAAGAAAUCAACCGAGAUUCCCCCAGUAGCGGCGAGCGAACGGGGAGGAGCCCAGAGCCUGAAUCAGUGUGUGUGUUAGUGGAAGCGUCUGGAAAGGCGCGCGAUACAGGGUGACAGCCCCGUACACAAAAAUGCACAUACUGUGAGCUCGAUGAGUAGGGCGGGACACGUGGUAUCCUGUCUGAAUAUGGGGGGACCAUCCUCCAAGGCUAAAUACUCCUGACUGACCGAUAGUGAACCAGUACCGUGAGGGAAAGGCGAAAAGAACCCCGGCGAGGGGAGUGAAAAAGAACCUGAAACCGUGUACGUACAAGCAGUGGGAGCACGCUUCGGCGUGUGACUGCGUACCUUUUGUAUAAUGGGUCAGCGACUUAUAUUCUGUAGCAAGGUUAACCGAAUAGGGGAGCCGAAGGGAAACCGAGUCUUAACUGGGCGUUAAGUUGCAGGGUAUAGACCCGAAACCCGGUGAUCUAGCCAUGGGCAGGUUGAAGGUUGGGUAACACUAACUGGAGGACCGAACCGACUAAUGUUGAAAAAUUAGCGGAUGACUUGUGGCUGGGGGUGAAAGGCCAAUCAAACCGGGAGAUAGCUGGUUCUCCCCGAAAGCUAUUUAGGUAGCGCCUCGUGAAUUCAUCUCCGGGGGUAGAGCACUGUUUCGGCAAGGGGGUCAUCCCGACUUACCAACCCGAUGCAAACUGCGAAUACCGGAGAAUGUUAUUACGGGAGACACACGGCGGGUGCUAACGUCCGUCGUGAAGAGGGAAACAACCCAGACCGCCAGCUAAGGUCCCAAAGUCAUGGUUAAGUGGGAAACGAUGUGGGAAGGCCCAGACAGCCAGGAUGUUGGCUUAGAAGCAGCCAUCAUUUAAAGAAAGCGUAAUAGCUCACUGGUCGAGUCGGCCUGCGCGGAAGAUGUAACGGGGCUAAACCAUGCACCGAAGCUGCGGCAGCGACACUAUGUGUUGUUGGGUAGGGGAGCGUUCUGUAAGCCUGUGAAGGUGUGCUGUGAGGCAUGCUGGAGGUAUCAGAAGUGCGAAUGCUGACAUAAGUAACGAUAAAGCGGGUGAAAAGCCCGCUCGCCGGAAGACCAAGGGUUCCUGUCCAACGUUAAUCGGGGCAGGGUGAGUCGACCCCUAAGGCGAGGCCGAAAGGCGUAGUCGAUGGGAAACAGGUUAAUAUUCCUGUACUUGGUGUUACUGCGAAGGGGGGACGGAGAAGGCUAUGUUGGCCGGGCGACGGUUGUCCCGGUUUAAGCGUGUAGGCUGGUUUUCCAGGCAAAUCCGGAAAACUAAGGCUGAGGCGUGAUGACGAGGCACUACGGUGCUGAAGCAACAAAUGCCCUGCUUCCAGGAAAAGCCUCUAAGCAUCAGGUAACAUCAAAUCGUACCCCAAACCGACACAGGUGGUCAGGUAGAGAAUACCAAGGCGCUUGAGAGAACUCGGGUGAAGGAACUAGGCAAAAUGGUGCCGUAACUUCGGGAGAAGGCACGCUGAUAUGUAGGUGAAGCGACUUGCUCGUGGAGCUGAAAUCAGUCGAAGAUACCAGCUGGCUGCAACUGUUUAUUAAAAACACAGCACUGUGCAAACACGAAAGUGGACGUAUACGGUGUGACGCCUGCCCGGUGCCGGAAGGUUAAUUGAUGGGGUUAGCGGUAACGCGAAGCUCUUGAUCGAAGCCCCGGUAAACGGCGGCCGUAACUAUAACGGUCCUAAGGUAGCGAAAUUCCUUGUCGGGUAAGUUCCGACCUGCACGAAUGGCGUAAUGAUGGCCAGGCUGUCUCCACCCGAGACUCAGUGAAAUUGAACUCGCUGUGAAGAUGCAGUGUACCCGCGGCAAGACGGAAAGACCCCGUGAACCUUUACUAUAGCUUGACACUGAACAUUGAGCCUUGAUGUGUAGGAUAGGUGGGAGGCUUUGAAGUGUGGACGCCAGUCUGCAUGGAGCCGACCUUGAAAUACCACCCUUUAAUGUUUGAUGUUCUAACGUUGGCCCCUGAUCGGGGUUGCGGACAGUGUCUGGUGGGUAGUUUGACUGGGGCGGUCUCCUCCUAAAGAGUAACGGAGGAGCACGAAGGUUGGCUAAUCCUGGUCGGACAUCAGGAGGUUAGUGCAAUGGCAUAAGCCAGCUUGACUGCGAGCGUGACGGCGCGAGCAGGUGCGAAAGCAGGUCAUAGUGAUCCGGUGGUUCUGAAUGGAAGGGCCAUCGCUCAACGGAUAAAAGGUACUCCGGGGAUAACAGGCUGAUACCGCCCAAGAGUUCAUAUCGACGGCGGUGUUUGGCACCUCGAUGUCGGCUCAUCACAUCCUGGGGCUGAAGUAGGUCCCAAGGGUAUGGCUGUUCGCCAUUUAAAGUGGUACGCGAGCUGGGUUUAGAACGUCGUGAGACAGUUCGGUCCCUAUCUGCCGUGGGCGCUGGAGAACUGAGGGGGGCUGCUCCUAGUACGAGAGGACCGGAGUGGACGCAUCACUGGUGUUCGGGUUGUCAUGCCAAUGGCACUGCCCGGUAGCUAAAUGCGGAAGAGAUAAGUGCUGAAAGCAUCUAAGCACGAAACUUGCCCCGAGAUGAGUUCUCCCUGACUCCCUGAGAGUCCUGAAGGAACGUUGAAGACGACGACGUUGAUAGGCCGGGUGUGUAAGCGCAGCGAUGCGUUGAGCUAACCGGUACUAAUGAACCGUGAGGCUUAACCUU
rnacentral:rRNA from 1 species